rnacentral:rRNA from 1 species
GGCGAACGCUGGCGGCGUGCUUAACACAUGCAAGUCGAACGGAAAGGCUCCAGCUUGCUGGAGUACUCGAGUGGCGAACGGGUGAGUAACACGUGGGUAAUCUGCCCUGCACUCUGGGAUAAGCCUGGGAAACUGGGUCUAAUACUGGAUAUGACCUUUCUCCUUAUGGGGUUUGGUGGAAAGUUUUUCGGUGUAGGAUGAGCCCGCGGCCUAUCAGCUUGUUGGUGGGGUGAUGGCCUACCAAGGCGACGACGGGUAGCCGGCCUGAGAGGGUGAUCGGCCACAUUGGGACUGAGAUACGGCCCAGACUCCUACGGGAGGCAGCAGUGGGGAAUAUUGCACAAUGGGCGGAAGCCUGAUGCAGCGACGCCGCGUGAGGGAUGACGGCCUUCGGGUUGUAAACCUCUUUCAGCAGGGACGAAGCGUAAGUGACGGUACCUGCAGAAGAAGCACCGGCAAACUAUGUG